GAAGUUCAGAACCCAGCUUUUAUUGAGCACCAGUGCCAGCCUACAUGGGAUAUGAGUGCCCCUGUGCCACCAGCUCCUCCCCAGGACCCCCCCCCCCCAUGCCCAGCACCUGGGAGCUAGCAAGCUAUCCGUACCUCUCCAGCACCAGAAGUUUGUCCCCCACGUCAGGACUUUUUGGCUCUAUUUGGGCCCCUCGGAACGAUGCCUUUGAUGGCUGCUGCCGGUCAGUGGCUCUCCUCCCCAUUCUGAGCACGUUGGGAAUCACUCAGUUAUGUGCAAGCCGGAGUACUUGCCUAGAUUUAACCCCUUCCAUGCCUACAUGAACCUGGACGUAUGGACAGGAACCGCUAACAGAAAUGCACCUUUCCCAAUUUCGAGAGACUCUGGAA